GUGACAUCACUACCUGUUGCGCUCUCACGAUGAAUGGGUUCUCUGUUCUCAGAGUUGGGUGGCAGAAGGCUGUAGCUCCUGCGAAAUGUGGGACUAUUUAUAGCACGCUGGAAAAAACCAAGACCAUUUUGCUGCCAACCCCUAACAGAUGGAGGAAGUUUGCCGAUUCUGUUCUUGGGUCUGCGCGUCACCGCUUGUGACAGCUCCCCGGAGGUGUGACAUUGUCAGAGCCGCUGAAGAGUUCUACUCGAAUUAUUCUAAAUCCAGCCAGUCUUGGACAGGGACAUUCAGGGGCAUUCUAUGGCUCAAGCAGUGGGAGGCAGGUGGGGGUUCGAAUCGGAGGCCGAAGACUGAUGCUACCACAGCUUCAACAAGCAACGAUGUGUAGGUGUGCAAAACCAAUUUAUAUCAGCUUGAGCACAAAUAGGUAGUGAUGUGAGCAGGCUGGAGUACCAUUUUGUGGCCAUCAACAGAAGGCAACUUCAUUCUAAAUUCUGAUUAAUUUGUGCGCCUGAACCAGGCUGGAUUGAGCUGGAGCCAAAACUGGCUGGCGUUCAAAAGCACAGUUGUUUCUCACUUGCUUUAUUUGUGAAUAAAUCUGUAGUCUCUGACACACAGAUUCAGGUCGUCAUCAAUGUUUGUAAACAUUUGUAUUCCGUACUUAUUGGUAAUGAGCAACCCUGCAGCAGACCAGUGAUUUAAAUGAAAGGACCACUAUUAAGCAGGAGAUAGCCUUCUUCUACCACCCCAAUCUUCUGUCGAAGUCGUCUGGCCAUUUAUUGCAUACUAAUAAUUUGGAAUUAUCCACUUGUCCUGUGGAAUAUUUAUCAUUUUAUAGAACCUUUAUUGAAUCUGGAAUGACAUCCAGCUGCAGCUCAAGGCUGUCUUUUCCCCCCGCUGAUACACGAUUCGCCUUCACUGUUGAUUCAGGCCAUAAAUCAUAUGUAUUAUGUUUGCUUGUUUUUAAAUGUCAGGAUAUUGAUAUCCGCUAUGCAUGAUAUAUUGCUAAAUUGAAAGUUGUACAAAACAAAUUAAAUCUCUCUGUGCGCAGUGU